GCGCUGCGGGGCACGGCCCUCGCAGCUUCGGGCGCCCCUGACGCGGCGGUUCAGUUACUCAGUCAGCAGCACCCUUCGAGCGGCCCUACUGUGCCUCAAGCACUGUGCCAAGUGUGGGGAUAAAGGGUGACAUCAUACUAUCGGUGCCCUCCUAGAGCUUGCAGAUCUAACCGUGAUGCGUCUAAGACCCACAACCCUCCAUUCUCAUUCCUAGAGCAGCCUUUGAAGAAAUCCAGGGCAUGGAGGCCACGAGUUUGGCCGAAUUGGAGGCAUUAUGUACUCACCUCUACAUAGGGACUGAUCUUACACAAAGAAUAGAGGCUGAGAAAGCACUCUUGGAACUUAUUGACAGCCCAGAAUGUCUCAGCAAGUGUCAACUUUUAUUAGAACAAGGAACAACAUCCUAUGCUCAGCUCCUUGCAGCAACAUGUCUUUCGAAACUUGUCAGCCGAAUCAGUCCUUUACCUGUUGAGCAGAGGAUUGAUAUCAGAAACUACAUUCUGAAUUAUGUGGCAUCACAACCUAAGCUGGCUCCCUUUGUCAUCCAAGCUCUUAUUCAAGUAAUUGCUAAAAUCACUAAGUUGGGGUGGUUUGAGGUUCAGAAAGACCAGUUUGUCUUCAGAGAAAUUAUUGCUGAUGUGAAGAAGUUUCUUCAGGGUACUGUGGAGCACUGCAUAAUAGGAGUAAUAAUCCUCUCUGAAUUGACUCAGGAAAUGAACCUGGUUGAUUAUUCUAGACCUUCAGCAAAACACAGGAAAAUAGCUACUUCAUUUCGUGACACUUCUCUCAAAGACAUAUUAGUGCUAGCGUGUUCUCUUCUAAAAGAGGUAUUGGCCAAACCUUUAAAUCUUCAAGAUCAAUUUCAACAGAAUCUGGUGAUGCAGGUCUUGAAACUGGUCCUCAACUGCCUCAACUUUGACUUCAUUGGCAGUUCAGCAGAUGAGUCUGCAGAUGAUCUUUGCACAGUACAGAUUCCAACAACCUGGAGAACAAUUUUCCUAGAACCAGAAACAUUGGAUCUUUUCUUCAAUUUGUAUCAUUCACUUCCACCACUGCUGUCUCAGUUAGCACUUGCGUGUUUAGUUCAGUUUGCUUCUACAAGAAGGUCCUUAUUUAGCAGUCCUGAACGUGCCAAGUACCUUGGUAAUUUAAUUAAGGGAGUGAAAAGGAUACUUGAAAACCCUCAGGGUUUGUCUGAUCCAGGUAAUUAUCAUGAAUUUUGUCGAUUUUUGGCUCGUUUAAAGACAAAUUAUCAACUGGGAGAGUUAGUUAUGGUCAAGGAGUAUCCUGAAGUUAUCAGAUUGAUUGCUAAUUUUACUAUUACUAGCCUACAGCAUUGGGAGUUCGCUCCAAACAGUGUUCAUUAUUUAUUAACUCUGUGGCAGAGGAUGGUAGCAUCAGUUCCUUUUGUGAAAUCAACUGAGCCCCACUUACUAGACACUUACGCACCUGAAAUCACAAAGGCCUUUAUCACGUCUCGAUUGGACUCUGUUGCCAUAGUUGUGAGAGACCAUUUAGAUGACCCACUGGAUGAUACUGCUACUGUGUUUCAGCAGCUGGAGCAGUUGUGCACUGUCAGCAGAUGUGAAUAUGAAAAGACGUGCUCUCUUCUUGUACAGUUGUUUGACCAGAAUGCACAGAAUUACCAAAAACUUCUUCAUUCAGCUUCUGCGAUAACUGUGGACAUGGCAAUUCAGGAAGGACGUCUUGCAUGGCUCGUUUAUUUAGUUGGGACAGUUGUAGGAGGAAGAUUAACAUAUACCAGUACAGAUGAGCAUGAUGCUAUGGAUGGAGAGUUAUCCUGUAGAGUUUUUCAGCUUAUAUCUUUAAUGGAUACUGGAUUGCCUCGAUGUUCUAAUGAGAAAAUAGAGCUUGCAGUUUUAUGGUUCUUGGAUCAGUUUCGUAAAACAUACGUUGGUGAUCAGCUUCAAAGAACCUCAAAGGUAUAUGCCCGUAUGUCAGAAGUAUUAGGAAUUACAGAUGACAACCAUGUUCUAGAAACAUUCAUGACGAAAAUUGUUACAAACCUUAAAUACUGGGGAAGAUGUGAGCCUGUAAUUUCAAGGACUCUUCAGUUCCUAAAUGACCUUUCUGUUGGCUAUAUCCUUUUAAAAAAACUUGUGAAAAUAGAUGCUGUGAAGUUUAUGCUGAAGAACCACACGAAUGAACACUUCCCCUUUCUUGGCAUCAGUGACAGUUACAGUCUCAGUGACUUCAGGUGCCGAACAACCUUCUACACAGCCCUCACUCGCCUUCUGAUGGUAGAUCUAGGCGAAGAUGAGGAUGAAUUUGAGAAUUUCAUGCUGCCUCUUACAGUCUCUUUUGAAACAGUAUUACAGAUAUUCAACAACAACUUCAAACAAGAAGAUGUAAAGCGUAUGUUGAUCGGGCUGGCAAGAGAUCUUCGAGGGAUUGCCUUUGCACUGAACACAAAGACCAGCUACACCAUGCUGUUUGACUGGAUGUACCCUACGUAUCUCCCAGUUCUGCAGAGGGCUGUUGAGCAGUGGUAUGCGGAGCCAGCAUGCACAACUCCCAUCUUGAAGCUUAUCGCAGAACUGAUGCAGAACAGGUCCCAGCGUUUGAAUUUUGAUGUAUCAUCUCCUAAUGGAAUUCUUCUCUUCAGAGAAGCUAGUAAAAUGAUUUGCACUUAUGGUAAUCAGAUCCUGUCUCUUGGGAGCCUCUCAAAAGAUCAGAUUUAUCCAAUGAAACUCAAGGGCAUCUCCAUCUGCUAUUCAGCUCUCAAAUCUGCCUUAUGUGGAAAUUAUGUCAGCUUUGGCGUCUUCAAGUUGUAUGGGGACAACCAUUUUGACAAUGUACUCCAGGCCUUUGUCAAAAUGCUACUGUCGGUGUCCCACAGCGACUUGCUACAAUAUCGGAAACUGAGCCAGUCGUAUUAUCCACUCCUGGAAUGUCUCACCCAGGACCACAUGAGCUUCAUCACCAACUUAGAGCCUCCUGUGCUCCUGUAUGUCCUCACUUCUAUCUCAGAAGGACUCACUACUCUUGAUACGGUCGUCUGCUCCAGCUGCUGUGCCAGUCUAGACUACAUCGUCACCUACCUCUUCAAGCACAUAGCGAAAGAGGGCAAGAAGCCACUUCGCUGCAGAGAGGCUGCCCAGGCUGGUCAGAGACUAUUACAUUUUAUGCAACAAAACCCAGAUGUCCUGCAGCAGAGUGAAACGAUAUUGCUCAACAUUUUGACAUACUAUAUGAGACAUCUUUCAUACUUAAGAUGCCAUUCCAUAAUACCAAGUAGGAGAAAGUGCAGUCGCAUCUUUAACUGAUGUUGAGACUUUGGCCUUAGAACCUCAGCAAGAUCCUCACAGUAGAAAAUAUCUAAGCAGGUAAAACAUGGUCACAUCUCUUACCCUCUUUAAAAAAUAAUUAGCCAGAUGUCUUAAUGUUAUGAAAAACUAUUUCUUGUGAUCCUUAAACAAAAAAGUGUGCUUUUCGUGUAAUUUAUUAGCUCAGUCUGGUUGAUUUGUAGCUUUAUUAAAAAAAAUAUAUCAGUAGAUUGAUCUCAAAACCAAGCAGAGAGUGUUCCCAAUUCGAUCAGAGUUGAAGGCAGCCACGGGCCUGUCGUGAGACACUGCAGAUAGGAGCCCUUCACGGCAGAGCUGUUUUCCAUGGUGCUGCUGGGAUCCUGGUCCUGUCCACACACUGUGGACACACAUAGUGCCAGACACACUGUGUGCUUCUGGGAGAGAGUAUUGGCAGAAUGGAAGCACAUUUGGGUCGUUUCUUUGCAUACUGUUCAGGGAAACUCCUUUACAUGUGCCUGACCUGACCUCAUCACUGUGUCCCUGUGAAGGUGCAGUCUUGUCAUCACCAUUUCAUGGGUACAGAAACCAAGGCAGGAGGAGACUGAGUAACUGUCCCAGCAUCACAGAGCCUGUGGAGGACACAGUCUCAGCCUGGAACUCAACCUUCGGAGCUCCUGGCCCAGCCGCAGAGCUGCUGCCCCUUAGUGUACAUGGUGUUUCCUGACCGGCAGCGGGUGGUAGGUUUUGUGCACUUAGGGUGGGGCAGUCUGAAUGCCACAUGAGUCCCACUGGGGCUGUCCUUAAGGUAAAGUGGUUUAGCAUCGUCAUCCUAUACCCCAACUUCGUCCUGCAGCUGGACAGAACAGAUGGGCGGUGACCCAUAGAGUGACGGGCAAAGCAGAGGGAAGUGACUUUGCCAGCUGGUGCAGAAAAAGCCCUGUGGCUUCCACCAUCACUAAGGCAAGGCCAACAGUGCUCCUCUCUGUCAUCUAUAGCCAGGGCAUAAAGCUUAGUAGAGCGUGUGUCCUUGAGGAGGCCAGAGUCUGGUAAUGUUGGUGGCUUUUUUCAGGCCUUGAGAUAGCUGUUGAGGUCUACUUAAGGUGUCUGCCCUCGGUAGCAGCACUGGCCCUGUGAAUAGAGGCGGGAGGUUUACACCUGUGCCCAGCCCAGCUGCGCUUGGUGCUGACUCUCACCGCUGAUUCCUUCACCUCUUUGUGGUGUAAUCUGCCUUUUAAAGGAGCCUCCUGCUGACCACUACCAUUAGUUCUGCUGGUGGUCUCCUCAGCACGCCUGGGUCCCCUGGAGCCCCACUAAGGCAGCUGUAAGGUAACAAUCAGCAAUAAAAUCCCAAAAGGGAAUAAACCCCUAAGAAUGAAAAAUUUGUGUCUAUCAUCCCCAAAGACGAGUUAAGAAAAUUAAUGAUUAAUUUUAAAAAUAGAAAAACACUAGUUUUUUAAAACUAAAAUGGCAUUUUAACUAUGAUAUUAUAGAAUUGUCUGUACAUCUUUAGAAGGAUGAUUCUACUCCAGAUCCUUUGUUAUUAAACAUACCUUUGCCAUCUUGAUUUCAUUUUUAUUAUAGAACUAUUUAUUGGAUGACUAUUUCAACUGUAAUAAAAUAGUAUUUUUAAACAGAAAAAAAAACAGUUAAAAUAGAAACCUGUUCUUGAUUUAUGAAUCAUCAAAUUAAUGUCAUAGCCAGAGUGAUACAUUUUAGAGUAGUUUUUUUUUUCUUUUUUUUUUCCUAAAAUAAAUCACCUUCAUCUUGAUACUUGUAUCAGCCCCAGCAGAGCCUCAUCAGUAAAUGUCUGCAAAGCAAACCCCCCCAAAAAGAAUGUUCGGAAGUACAGUUUUAGCUGUCUGAUCUCACACGUUCUUGGACUAUUGCAGCAUAGUAAGCCAAAUGGUAGUUCUAAGAUGAUGUCUGUCCUCAUGAACACCAUUGUCUUUGAAGACUGUCGGAACCAGUGGUCGGUAUCCAGGCCUCUCCUGGGGCUUAUCCUGCUCAAUGAGAAG